rnacentral:snRNA from 1 species
CUAGUCCAUGUGGUCAUCUAGU